rnacentral:rRNA from 1 species
UACAGAGGGUGCGAGCGUUGUCCGGAAUUACUGGGCGUAAAGGGCGCGUAGGCGGCUUGGUAAGUCGGGGGUGAAAGUCAGCGGCUCAACCGCUGGACUGCCUUCGAGACUGCCUGGCUUGAGCAUGGUAGAGGCUGGCGGAAUUCCCGGUGUAGCGGUGGAAUGCGUAGAGAUCGGGAGGAACAUCAGUUGCGAAGGCGGCUCUCUGGACCAGCACUGACACUGAGGCACGAAAGCGUGGGGAGCAAACAGG